rnacentral:rRNA from 1 species
AGAGUUUGAUCCUGGCUCAGAUUGAACGCUGGCGGCAUGCCUUACACAUGCAAGUCGAACGGCAGCAUGGAGAGCUUGCUCUCUGAUGGCGAGUGGCGAACGGGUGAGUAAUACAUCGGAACGUGUCCGUUUGUGGGGGACAACCGUCCGAAAGGAUGGCUAAUACCGCAUAAGACCUGAGGGUGAAAGCCGGGGACCGCAAGGCCCGGCGCAGACGGAGCGGCCGAUGAUUGAUUAGCUAGUUGGGGAGGUAAAGGCUCACCAAGGCGACGAUCAAUAGCUGGUCUGAGAGGACGACCAGCCACACUGGAACUGAGACACGGUCCAGACUCCUACGGGAGGCAGCAGUGGGGAAUUUUGGACAAUGGGGGCAACCCUGAUCCAGCCAUGCCGCGUGCGGGAAGAAGGCCUUCGGGUUGUAAACCGCUUUUGUCAGGGACGAAAAGCUCCGGAGUAAUAUGCCGGAGUGCUGACGGUACCUGAAGAAUAAGCACCGGCUAACUACGUGCCAGCAGCCGCGGUAAUACGUAGGGUGCAAGCGUUAAUCGGAAUUACUGGGCGUAAAGCGUGCGCAGGCGGUUGGGUAAGACAGAUGUGAAAUCCCCGGGCUUAACCUGGGAACUGCAUUUGUGACUGUCCGACUGGAGUACGUCAGAGGGGGGUGGAAUUCCACGUGUAGCAGUGAAAUGCGUAGAUAUGUGGAAGAACACCGAUGGCGAAGGCAGCCCCCUGGGACGCAACUGACGCUCAUGCACGAAAGCGUGGGGAGCAAACAGGAUUAGAUACCCUGGUAGUCCACGCCCUAAACGAUGUCUGCUGGUUGUUGGGAAUUUAAUUCUCAGUAACGAAGCCAACGCGUGAAGCAGACCGCCUGGGGAGUACGGUCGCAAGAUUAAAACUCAAAGGAAUUGACGGGGACCCGCACAAGCGGUGGAUGAUGUGGAUUAAUUCGAUGCAACGCGAAAAACCUUACCCAGCCUUGACAUGUCAGGAAUGCCUCGGAGAUGAGGCAGUGCCCGCAAGGGAACCUGAGCACAGGUGCUGCAUGGCUGUCGUCAGCUCGUGUCGUGAGAUGUUGGGUUAAGUCCCGCAACGAGCGCAACCC